UACAGAGGUCCCGAGCGUUGUUCGGAUUCAUUGGGCGUAAAGGGUGUGUAGGAGGUUAGGUAAGUCAGGCGUGAAAUCUCACCGCUUAACGGUGAAACUGCGUUUGAUACUGCUUGACUAGAGGAUCGGAGGGGGAAGCGGAAUUCUUGGUGUAGCAGUGAAAUGCGUAGAUAUCAAGAGGAACACCGGUGGUGUAGACGGCUCACUGGACCGUAACUGACGCUGAGACACGAAAGCGUGGGUAGCAAACAGG
rnacentral:rRNA from 1 species